AAACCAACAGGGAUUGCCUUAGUAACGGCGAGUGAAGCGGCAAAAGCUCAAAUUUGAAAUCUGGCGUCUUUGGCGUCUGAGUUGUAAUUUGAAGAAGGUAACUUUGGGUUUGGCCUUUGUUUAUAUUCCUUGGAACAGGAUGUCAUAGAGGGUGAGAACCCCGUAUUCGACAAGGUGCCCAUUCCUAUGUAAAGUGCUUUCGAAGAGUCGAGUUGUUUGGGAAUGCAGCUCUAAGUGGGUGGUAAAUUCCAUCUAAAGCUAAAUAUUGGCGAGAGACCGAUAGCGAACAAGUACAGUGAUGGAAAGAUGAAAAGAACUUUGAAAAGAGAGUGAAAAAGUACGUGAAAUUGUUGAAAGGGAAGGGCUUGAACUCAGACUUGGUAUUCAGUGAUCAACUAUCUCUUGUGGAUUGUGCACUCGCUGUUUACUGGGCCAACAUCGGUUUGAACGGUGAGAUAAUGACUCUGGAACGUGGCUUGGACUUUUAGUUUGAGUGUUAUAGCCUUUGUUGAUAUCACCAGUUUGGACCGAGGUCUGCGCUUUUUAGCUAGGAUGUUGGCGUAAUGAUUUUAAGCCGC
rnacentral:rRNA from 3 species